GACGAACGCUGGCGGCGUGCUUAACACAUGCAAGUCGAACGGAAAGGCCCUGCUUUUGUGGGGUGCUCGAGUGGCGAACGGGUGAGUAACACGUGAGUAACCUGCCCUUGACUUUGGGAUAACUCCAGGAAAAUGGGGCUAAUACAGGACAGGAGCUCCUGAUGCAUGGGGGGGGUUGGAAAGUUUCGGCGGUUGGGGAUGGAAUCGCGGCUUAUCAGCUUGUUGGUGGGGUGGUGGCUUACCAAGGCUUUGACGGGUAGCCGGCCUGGGAGGGUGACCGGCCACAUUGGGCCUGAGGUAGGGGCCGGACUCCUACGGGAGGCAGCAGUGGGGAAUAUUGCACGAUGGGCGGAAGCCUGAUGCAGCAACGUCGCGUGCGGGAUGUCUGCCUUCGGGUUGUAACCCGCUUUCGCCUGUGACGAAGCGUGAGUGACGGUAAUGGGUAAAGAAGCACCGGCUAACUACGUG
rnacentral:rRNA from 1 species